rnacentral:lncRNA from 12 species
CCAUGUCCUGCCAUCUGGCCUUGGGGCAGAAUUAAAGGAGACAUAUGCCCAAGGACUAAAUGCAGACUGCGACCCGCACGUUAUAUCACACCGGAACUUGCCCCCAAAAUCCUCCUUAGUCAAGAGACACCAUCCUGCUUGCAUGGGUGGCAGCACUUGACAGACAGCAUGUGGUGUCCACUUCGAAGUCCCCAGGGCCAACAGACUGAGUGGAUGGUUAUACCUCAUGAAGAUGUGAAAGGGAAAUGGCCUUGCACACCAUUGGUGCUCAGAUGAUGUAUAAAGACUGCCAGGAUAGGAUGCACAUGUCACAUGGAGUGUCCAUUCCCUUCUGCCUCUCCAACACCUGUCCAGCUCUGGUUGCAGACCUAAGGAGUCAGGUGGCCAUUCCCUUGUGCACAGGCCAGCACUUCCUCAGGUCUGAUGGGAUGCUUGUGUGGGUCACUGCCUUGACAAGUGUGUCACCCUAUUUGCUGGUAGACUCCAAUAAGGCUGGAGAAAGCAGCAGACUGUUGUUCUCAUGGGAAGGUAGGAAGCUAAUGCCCUCUCCCCGCCGCCCCCGAAAAUGGAGUGGGAGAGUUAGCCAGAUUCCUCCAGUGAAGCCAAGAAGUCCUAGUUAAUUUCAUGGUCAUUUCCACACUGUUUAUCAAAGAGUCUCUGCUCCAGUGUAAAGUUCCCAAAUAUGGUAUUUCCCCAAGCCUGGCUGGGAUGUGGCCAAGUGCCUGAGACAUACAAAUAUUUACUAAAUAAGCAAAUGCACUUGGAAGUGUGUUCCUGCCUGAGCUUUAGUACAGUAGUCACUGACACUCGUUCUCAGAGUGAGACCAUUUUAUGGACUAUUCCCAGCAUGGGAACAUAUCAUAGUCCAGAGCAUGGGGGACAUCACAUUUUUCUAAGGGAAGGUGACGUUUUAUGUGCAAGGGGGCAGUAGUGACUUCAGUGUCUUGCAAAGCAGGGUGGGACAGAGGAGAAUGUGGCCGGUGGCAUCAGCCUCAGUGAGACUCAGGCUAGAGUCUCAGCUUUGGCAUAUUUGGUGACUUCCUGUAAAUAAUUCACUCUCUCUGAACUCCUGUUGCCUUAUCUAUAAACGAGGGACAGCAGUCCGCAUUCCAUGGGGUGUUGUGAGGAUUAAGGGAGAUGAUGUACAUGAAGCAUCUGGCCAAUACCAUGUGCUCAUGAAAUACGAGUUUUCCUUUCUUUCGAAUUUUUGUAUUUUUUUUAUACCUUAGGGUUCUCCCAAAUCUCACAUUUCUUCCCCAGGAUUUUCCUCUGCAAGCCUAGUGUGUGUAUGCAGUGAAACUCAAUCUACAUGUUCCUCAUUUGUGUAUACUAAAAACAUCAAAAUGUUAUUUCAGAAGAUUUGUAUUUGUUUGAUGUUCAAAAGUUCUAUAGUGGCAGCAUCAGGAGAGCGUCUGGCAUGCUCCUAAGAUGACUGUCCAGUCAGAUUUCAAAGCCCCACCGGUAAUUGCUUUUUAUGUUCUGUCCACUUAGACCAGUUUUGAAGAUAACCACUGGCUUAUAUUACACGUGAUUGCAUUUUUUUUUUUGCUAUGAAAUAUGCUCAGUGUAUUUUCUCAUGUAAUCAUGAAGACAACCCUGCAAGAGUGUGUGAGUACACAU